GGCGGGAAAGCUUUUGACGGAUGA
rnacentral:siRNA from 1 species